rnacentral:rRNA from 1 species
ACGCACGCUGGCGGCGUGCCUAAUACAUGCCAGUAGAACGCACAGUUUAUACCGUAGCUUGCUACACCAUAAACUGUGAGUUGCGAACGGGUGAGUAACGCGUAGGUAACCUGCCUGGUAGCGGGGGAUAACUAUUGGAAACGAUAGCUAAUACCGCAUAAUAUUGAUUAUUGCAUGAUAAUUGAUUGAAAGAUGCUAUUGCAUCACUACCAGAUGGACCUGCGUUGUAUUAGCUAGUAGGUGAGGUAACGGCUCACCUAGGCGACGAUACAUAGCCGACCUGAGAGGGUGAUCGGCCACACUGGGACUGAGACACGGCCCAGACUCCUACGGGAGGCAGCAGUAGGGAAUCUUCGGCAAUGGACGAAAGUCUGACCGAGCAACGCCGCGUGAGUGAAGAAGGGUUUCGGAUCGUAAAGCUCUGUUGUAAGAGAAGAACGGGUGUGAGAGUGGAAAGUUCACACUGUGACGGUAUCUUACCAGAAAGGGACGGCUAACUACGUG